UGACUGGGAGAUCUAGCUUAUAGAAACAGAGCAGAUGGAUAAAUAAUUGAAAAGAAAAAGGUGCAAUAUUGUUGUGAAAAUCUCUAAUGUACACUAAUGUACGCAUUCGGAGGAAGGAGCGACGGAAGAGGCAGAGAGAGAGAGAGAGCGGGGAAAAUAACAGUUGAGAAUAGGCUGCACUUGAAAAGGGAGGGGUAAGGGAAGAAAAAUGGAAUUUUUAUUCUCAAUAAUUGGUUUAAUUUCGAAAAAAAAAAACAAUCAAAUGGAUUUAGGCGAGCUGUGGGCGAUCUUCAGUCCCGGUGUCGCGGGCGCCGUAUUCGGUGCCGGCUGGUGGUUUUGGGUCGACGCCGUCGUUUGUAGCUCCGUUAAUAUCUCUUUCGUCCACUAUUUACCUGGAAUAUUUGCGUCUAUCGCGGCUUUGAUGUUUAAUUGUGUUAGAAAAGACGAUAUUGAUUACUCUCCGUAUGAUGAAGGCGAGUGGAGGUUGAAGCUCUGGCUUUUCCUUGCUUAUGUUGUCUCCUUUGUUUCACUGGCUGCUUCAGUGGGCCUAUUGAUGCAGGAUUCACUAGUGACAUCUGGUCCUUCAUUGUGGACUGGUACUGCAGGUGUCUUACAGUGUGUGUUCGUCUUAAUUAGUGGACUUAUAUAUUGGACUUCUCACUCGGAAUAACAGACAGUGUAGCUUGGAACCACAAGCGAGUCUUCAAUAGUAUGUGCAGGGCCUUCAUCCUCACCAGAGUUUUCUUCCCAGCCAAGAGAACGAAGAAAUGCAGCCUCUUCUUCAUCUGGAUAAACCAUAGAAGUGGAGGUCAUAUAAUUUUCACCAUCAUCAGAAAAUCUUUUAGCAUCAUGACGGGUGCCACCAUUGCUAGUUGCUGCAGUAUGAUUCUCAUUAGUACAAGCAGGUGCAGAAGCAGUCACUACUUCCUUUGAAACUUCAGAUUUCUCUGUGGUGGAAGAUGAAUUUUGAGGAUCUGAAUCUGCGAGACCAGCAGCACUGUUCAUAGAGGUCUUCUUUUUCAGGAGAUUAAAAAAAUCAUUCCGGUUCUGGGUUUGAGCCAAGGAAGGUUUCUUUUCCACAGUAAACCCAGCUACUGGAUUCAAGGUAGAUGCCUUGCGUUCCCCAGCAGAUAGCUUUUGGUUCUUCGAGUUUAUAGAGGAAGCAGAUGUAACAGGAGCAACUGCAUGUUGGCUAGUUGUACCUCUGCUGUUCAUAUUUGUUGUUGGACUAGCAACAUCUUUAUGAGUAGGAGAUGAGACCCCAUUCUCCCAUCCUGGUUUGAGAACCAAAAGCUUCCCAGAUGUCUUUGGCAUGUCAGACUUGACAUGAUCACUGUGGGGAGACUGAUUACCAUGAUGAGUCAAAGAAUAUUGUUGCUGUCCACUCUUUAUAGUUAUGUUCAUGUCACUCGUUCUGACAGCAGUAGACAGGUCAAAAGAAAAAGCGCAACUUCCAGAACACUUCAUGAGCAUACAGCAAACUAGCUAACUUGAGUUAAUCUUGGCAUUUCCAAAUCCCUUAAAGAUGUACAAGAACAGUUAUAAUUCAACCACAAGUCUAUAUCAUUAAGUCAUAUCAUAAACAUGAAAUUCAAAAUCUACUGUAAACAACACCAGGGAAGAAAAAGAAAAAGAAAGAAUGCUAGCUUUGUUGGUGGAAUAAUAGAUGGUCUUGCAUAGCUGCUUUUUUUUACUAAUCCAUCAAGAUAAAAGUGAGAAGGCUUCUUGAAAAGUUCCACUGUUCAUCAAUUGACUGUAUUAUAUUUGAUGACACUAAGAUCCAAUGAGUUUCCUUUCCAAAA